rnacentral:rRNA from 1 species
AAUGAACGCCGGCGGCAGGCCUAAAACAUGCAAGUCGAACGCUCUAGCAAUAGAGAGUGGCGCACGGGUGAGUAACACGUGGGAAUAUGCCUUUUGGUACGGAACAACGCCUGGAAACGGACGCUAAUACCGUAUGGUCCCUCCGGGGUAAAGAUUUAUCGCCAAAAGAUUAGCCCGCGUCUGAUUAGCUAGUUGGUGAGGUAAUGGCUCACCAAGGCGACGAUCAGUAGCUGGUCUGAGAGGACGAUCAGCCACACUGGGACUGAGACACGGCCCAGACUCCUACGGGAGGCAGCAGUUAGGAAUAUUGGACAAUGGGCGCAAGCCUGAUCCAGCCAUGCCGCGUGAGUGAUGAAGGCCUUCGGGUUGUAAAGCUCUUUAGUCCACGAAUAUAAUGACUGUAGUGGAAGAAUAAGCCCCGGCUAACUUCGUGCCAGCCGCCGCAGUAACAC